rnacentral:rRNA from 1 species
UACGGAGGGGGCGAGCGUUAUUCGGAAUUAUUGGGCGUAAAGGGCGCGUAGGCGGCCUGGUAAGUCAAAGGUGAAAUCCCUCGGCUCAACUGAGGAACUGCCUUUGAAAUUGCCUGGCUUGAGGCCGGGAGGGGGUGGCGGAAUUCCCAGUGUAGCGGUGAAAUGCGUAGAUAUUGGGAGGAACACCGGUGGCGAAGGCGGCCCCCUGGUUGGAUACUGACGCUGAGACGCGAAGCGUGGGGAGCAAACAGG